GAAGCGGCCACACCCGGCUUGCAACAUCCAGCUCCCACUCCGAAACCUGGAAAUUAAGCAGUCGCGGGCCACAUCAGUACUGGGCUGGCGACUUCCCGGGAACGUGCGGUGCUUGCUUC